rnacentral:lncRNA from 1 species
GGGAAGUUUAGGAGUUGAGGAAAGAAGAUUAAAGAGCGCGAGGAGGUAACCCCCAAAACUCUAAUUUGUUGUGGGGCGGGCUGGAGGGAGGGGAGUGUGCGUGCGAGGGGGACGAGGCGUCCGCGAGACACUUGGAGUGGGGGGCGACGGGACGGGAAAGGAAGGGACUGGGGUGGGGUUGGGGGAGCGAGUUAGAGAGACAAGCCCGCGGGCCGUCGGCCGGCCGAGGGCGCGCGCCCCCGCGCCCCGCCUGCGCCCCCUCCCCCCCGGGCGCCCCUCCUCGCGCGGGGCGGUGGCUGCGGCCUCGCGCGACCCAGCGGGAAGGGAGGGAGCGCGGGAGGGUCCCGGGUCCCAGGAGCGGGCGGGCGGGCGGGCAGUCCCGCAGCUGGAAACGUGUCUUUUGCCUUCUUUUCUCUACUCCCUGCGCCUGGAGUUGCCGCUUCCAAGAAGAGGAGCUGAGGGGGACUAGCCGGGGCUCAGGAGCUGCUAGAGGCGCCGGCUUGUCUUCCGCCCCCUCCCUCCUCGCCCUCCCCCCGCUUGCCGUGGCUCUCGCGGUCUCUGGAGCGUCUUCAGAGAACUGGGGGGGGCGGGAGGUGUCCUGGCCCCAGAGCCGCGGGACGCCCCUCCAGACACCAAAGCUACCGGCCCCCGCCUGCUUCGCUGCUACGACUAUAGAGGAGGGGGCUUGGGAAGGGAAGAUACGCCUUUCCUUCUUUCUGUCCUUUGGGCCCCUUUGGAAACAUUAAACAAUGUUUACGCUUUUCGAUAGUUGAGAUAGAACGGUUGGAAGCUUUUUGAAAGUUGAAAAGAAAUGCACUCUCCUACGUUGUUAAAUGCAUUACUGUGUGGCUUCUGGUCCUCUUCCACCACCCACCUCACGCCCCCCGCCACCCACCCCCCUCUCCGCAGCUGUUAUCCUUUUUAAGGAUGCUGAAGAGGCAGGAGGCAGGGAUUUUCUAAAAGUUCUAUUGAUAAACACACUUGCACAAACAUAUGCUAGGCACACACAUAAACUAUAAACAUUAGCGAAAAACACAAUAUGGCGUACAGCUACACUACCUAGCACGGUAAUCCGCUGAUCUCUUAACACUGAACUCAGUUGAAUGGGGUCAGUGGCAGGAUGACAGUUCUCAAAUAAAAAUCUGGAAGAAAUAGGAAGUAAUUUGGAAGUCUGUGGGCUAAAUAAUGUCCUCAGAAUCAGCACUGGCACACGUAAACUUUCUAGACCUCUGGAAAUUGUCUUCACCACUUAACCAUUAAUGGUAAAGUAUGGUAAAUGAUGCUAAAAAGUAUGCCAAGAUGAUGCUAAAGUGGAGAGUUUCUCACUGCGUGGUCGUGUAUAAGUUUCAGCUAAUAGAAUUAACAGAGGCCACUCGUUCCCCAUGAUUUCAAGCGAGUUCUAUUCCAAAGUUAGCUAUCCUUAACUUGUUGCUAGUGAAAGUUUGAAAACAAAUUGUAGCGACCAUUUUGUAAAUAAAUUCUUUAGCUGUAAACACUAAAUUUAAAUGAUAAGCAUUUGUAUUAGCAAAUUCAGUUCAUAAAUGGUUUACUUUCUUACCUGUUGCUCCUAAUCUCAAAUACCAUUUGCUAUCACAUGGGAAUAGUUCAGAUAUACUCUCCUCUGCCCGUCACGUAAGUUUGACCAGGCCAGAUUUGGCUACUUUCUGCAUUUCAGCUUUACAGCUAGGUACGUCUAGAUUUCUAGGAAAACAACAACAACAACGAAAACAAACAAACAAAAAAAACAAUUUACAUUGAUUUUACAUGCCUUUGUUCACUCUUCUCAUUCUUAAUCAGAAUGUAUCAAAGUUGGUGUACAAAUUGUGCAUGGUAAUAUCACUGUGCCCUCUUGGGAAUGGGCUUCUCUCAAAAAAGCUUUUGGAAUUGCCCUUGAAGAAUUGCUGAUGUUACUCUUUGUUCAGGGCUCAAGGUUUAAUUCUUAAGAUUGUGGUUGUGAUUUCCAUUGAGUUCAAUUUUGGAGGGCUUUAGGCUUAAGAAUCUAUGGUGCUCAAGGAAACAGGUGAGAGGAAGAAGAAAAGUGAAUUUUCUAGAAAUAUACUAGCUGCUCAGUGAGUCCAGCAGUUGGGUAUUUUUGGUUUUGUGAUUUCAGAUCUCACAGACCAGUGGAAUACAGGCCUUUUGCAUAUGAAGAUCAGGUGACAAGUUAACUGUCUACCAGCCUCCAAAGCAAUACGCCCUUUCAUGGUGAGGUCCCAAUUUUAACAGACUAAAGAAAAAAGUUUAAGAUUAAAAAAUUGUUAAAUUUUAUCCAUUUUGGGGAAGAAGUCUUUAUGCUUAUCUGUCUAGCUCAAUUAAGAUGCCAGUAUUUUAAGCUUACUACUACAGCAAGAAAAUCAGAUACAGUUCAUGUGUACACUCACUGGCUACUGAAAGACAACAUGAGUUUAGAGGAAAGAAAAAACUUCUAUGUCUGUGUGGCUAGUGAGAGUUACAAUUUUGGGUGUGUGUGUUUAGAACUACUAGAUGAGAUGGCAGUUUACUAUGUAGUUUGUUCAGAAAGUUUUUGUGACCCACAAAUACCCAACUAAUUUUGCUGUCAAAUUAAUAUGAAUCUGACUACUUGGCAUAGGAAUAAAAUCUAGGGAAAAAGCCAGGUUAAAUGAAUUAUUUUUAUCUCAGUAGCGAAAGUCUAAAGAAGGCUUUCUUACCAAAUUGGACUUGACUGAAUAAUUAGGUCAGUUUAGAUACAACUAAGUUACUGUAAAAGAUCUAAAAUUUAUAAGUGAAUUACAAAUUAUUU